rnacentral:rRNA from 1 species
CCAGGGAAACUUGGGCUAAUACCGGAUGUGUGUAGUGGCUAUUUUUCUGAUUAUCAUUAUUUACGUAAGUGAGUAAUAAUAAGAAGGGAAAGUGGUUAUUACAUAAAAGGAUGGCGUAACUGCCGCUUGGGGAUGAGCCUGCGUCCUAUUAGUUAGUUGGUGAGGUAACGGCUUACCAAGGCGAUGAUAGGUAGGCGGCCUUAACGGGUGGUCGCCCACACUGGGAUUGAGAUACGGCCCAGACUCCUACGGGAGGCAGCAGUCGAGAAUAGUCUACAAUGGACGGAAGUCUGAUAGUGCGACGCCGCGAUGAACGAAGAAUCCCUUCGGGGUGUAAAGUUCUUUUAUACGUGAGCAGUGUCCUUUAUAUUAAUAGUAUAAGGGGAGAGAUAUUAGCGUAUGAAUAAGCAACGGCUAACUCUGUGCCAGCAGCCGCGGUAAUACAGAGGUCUGCGAGCGUUGUUCGGAUUUACUGGGCGUAAAGGGAGCGUAGGCGGUUUGGUGUGUCGAAUGUGAAAGCCCGCAACUCAACUGCGGAAUGGCAUUCGAAACUACCAGGCUAGAGUACUGGAGAGGAGAGCGGAAUUCUUGGUGUAGCGGUGAAAUGCGUAGAUAUCAAGAGGAACACCGGUGGCGAAGGCGGCUCUCUGGACAGAUACUGACGCUGAGGCUCUAAAGUUAGGGGAGCAAACAGGAUUAGAUACCCUGGUAGUCCUAACUGUAAACGGUGUACACUUGGUGUGCGAGGAAUUGUCCCUUUGCGCGCCGAAGCUAACGCGAUAAGUGUACCGCCUGGGGAGUACGGUCGCAAGAUUAAAACUCAAAGGAAUUGACGGGGACCCGCACAAGCGGUGGAGCAUGUGGCUUAAUUCGAUGCAACGCGAAGAACCUUACCUGGACUUGACAUGCCAGUGGUAGAACCCUGAAAGGGGGACGAUCCCGCGCAAGCGGGAAGCUGGCACAGGUGCUGCAUGGCUGUCGUCAGCUCGUGCCGUGAGGUGUUGGGUUAAGUCCCGCAACGAGCGCAACCCCUGUGGUUAGUUGCCCUUAUUCAGUUAGGCACUCUAGCCAGACUGCCUGUGAUAAGCAGGAGGAAGGUGGGGAUGACGUCAAGUCAGUAUGGUCCUUAUGUCCAGGGCUGCACACGUGCUACAAUGACCAGUACAGAAGGAAGCAAUACCGCGAGGUGGAGCUAAUCCCCAAAACUGGCCUCAGUUCGGAUUGGAGUCUGCAACCCGACUCCAUGAAGCUGGAAUCGCUAGUAACGGCGCAUCAGCUACGGCGCCGUGAAUACGUUCCCGGGUC